AGCGUAGCUCAGAGGUAGAGCAGGGGACUCAUAAGCCCUUGGUCGCAGGUUCAAAUCCCGCCGCUGCC
rnacentral:tRNA from 1 species